rfam:Phalacrocorax carbo contig117737, whole genome shotgun sequence.
GCUGUACAAUGAUGAUACUUUGGCUCCCUCUACUGAUAACUUGUGAGGAAAGUGCCAUCCGUUACCCAAUGCUUCUGAGAGUACAGC